AGAACAAUAUAUAUUUUUUGCUAUACACCAAACACAUUGAAUGAAGGCUUUGAGAUUCUAAACAAAAAAGCCUCAAAUCCAACCGUUGAUUUAUUGGGUAGCUUGGAAAUGUGUGUACAGACAUAACAUGACGAAGGAAUAGUUGCAGAUUGUCCUUUUGAUUCUUUUCUCAUUGGAGACACCAAGCAGAACCAGUUCACAUUUUUAAAUCAAGUGCUCCUGUGAAAUCUAAAAGCAGAUCUAAAAAUCCACUAUCUCCUAAUUAGUCACGUCAUGGGUGCCUUUUUCAUAGUGAACUGACCACUUUUGCAUAAGUGUUUUUCUUUAUAUACACGUGAGCCCCUCUCAGAUUUCUGCAUGGAGGGCCCAUUUUAGUUUCUUUGCAUCCUUUUCUUGUUAUAUAUACAGAUGUGGGGACUAAAGAUAUAAGGAAGGAGAGCAAGGAUUGAGGAGAGAACAAAAAGUUAGAAGAUUGCAGAAGGCAUAUCAUGGCCUCUUUUUAGCUGCUGGUUCAUGGAUUCCACUGGUCUGUCAAUAUGGGUAUGGCAGGAUAAUGGUGUGCAUGACACAGGAGAUGUGAUAUAACUGAUCUGACCUUCCUUGGAUUGAAGGGAGCUCCAAUGAAUCUGAUCUUAUUGGCAACCCUUUUUUAUUUUGUUUCAUUUUCUGCAAGUAUUUUGUUUUGGGUUUUACAUUUUGAUAUUCAUGUAGAUUCUGGAAAGAAAAAGAUGUAGGAGAUCCAAGGUUUGCUAAUAUAUCUGAUACCUAGUGUCAGGAGAUAUCUUCUUGAGGUAUAAACUGAUUACAUAGUUUUUCUAGUAGAAUUCUUGUGUCAUUAGGGUUGUGCUUUAGAUUGAGAUGAUAUGAGAUAUAAGAUUUUGAGGAUCUGAUUCAAUCUUUUGUUUGUUUCAUUCGAUGAAGUAGACUGAUGAUCUUGGUCUAAUCUUUUGUUUGUUUGUUUGUUUCGAUGAAGUUGACCGUUCAUCUGGUUUUAGCCGUUCUUGUUUUAAGAAGGUGACUAUUGUUCUGGUAUUUUUCCCAGUGGCUUGCAUCUGCUGGCUUGGAUAGCAAGUAAUCUAUUUUGGUAUAUCUAAUUUGGCCAUUCAUAAGAAUUUGCUAUCAGUCUUUAUUUAUAAACGUGGCCAUUCAUAAGAAUUUUCUAUUGCUCUUUUUUGUAACAAUUUGCCACAGGUUUUGAAGACUACCAGUAUAAUUUUAUCAGAUUUCCAUUGCUUCUCUGAUUCUCCAUUUGAUUGUGUAUUGUUUCCAUAACACUCUGAAAUUCAUCAUCAAGAUGUUUGAUCCACUUUGGAAUCCAUCAUCAAUAAGAUGUUAGAAUGUGUUUUGAGUGUAUGCAGAUGUUGAAGACUACCAUUUUAUCAUUUGAUAUAUUGAAGCAUUGAUGAUCGAAAGGAUAUUUCCAAGUAAUGAGAAAAUAAGAGGCAAAUGGAAAUCCAAGCAUUCAUAACUGAAGAGAUAUCUGUAACUUAUAAGAAAGUAAUGGGCAGAGGGGCAAAUGAAAUUUGAGCCUUUAAUGAUUGAAAGGAUAUCUCUAGUUUAUGAGGAGGGGCAAUUGAAAUAUCCAGUAAAAGCUCUGAUAGGAUGUUGGACAGCUGUUGGGCUAUAAUUUUUUGUAUUGUAAACCUAAUUUAAAGCAUGAGAUUUUCUUUACAGGCAAUGUAGCAUUGUUGAUAUUGGCUAUUGUAAAGUUCUGGUACUGCAAAUUAUCAUCUUUUCUUGUUCUUUA